UGCCAGACUCCUACGGGAGGCAGCAGUGGGGAAUAUUGCACAAUGGGGGAAACCCUGAUGCAGCAACGCCGCGUGAGUGAAGAAGUAUUUCGGUAUGUAAAGCUCUAUCAGCAGGGAAGAAGAUGACGGUACCUGAGUAAGAAGCCCCGGCUAACUACGUGCCAGCAGCCGCGGUAAUACGUAGGGGGCAAGCGUUAUCCGGAUUUACUGGGUGUAGAGGGAGCGUAGACGGUGAGACAAGUCUGAAGUGAAAGCCCGGGGCUCAACCCCGGGACUGCUUUGGAAACUGCCUGACUGGAGUGCUGGAGAGGCAAGCGGAAUUCCUAGUGUAGCGGUGAAAUGCGUAGAUAUUAGGAAGAACACCAGUGGCGAAGGCGGCUUGCUGGACAGUAACUGACGUUGAGGCUCGAAAGCGUGGGGAGCAAACAGGAUUAGAUACCCCGGUAC
rnacentral:rRNA from 1 species